rnacentral:rRNA from 1 species
GAUGAACGCUGGCGGCGUGCUUAACACAUGCAAGUCGAACGGAAAGGCCCAAGCUUGCUUGGGUACUCGAGUGGCGAACGGGUGAGUAACACGUGGGUGAUCUGCCCUGCACUUCGGGAUAAGCCCGGGAAACUGGGUCUAAUACCGGAUAGGACCACAUUUUGGAUGGUGUGGUGGAAAGUUUUUCGGUGUGGGAUGAGCUCGCGGCCUAUCAGCUUGUUGGUGGGGUAAUGGCCUACCAAGGCGUCGACGGGUAGCCGGCCUGAGAGGGUGUACGGCCACAUUGGGACUGAGAUACGGCCCAGACUCCUACGGGAGGCAGCAGUGGGGAAUAUUGCACAAUGGGCGCAAGCCUGAUGCAGCGACGCCGCGUGGGGGAUGACGGCCUUCGGGUUGUAAACUCCUUUCGCUAGGGACGAAGCGUUUUUGUGACGGUACCUGGAGAAGAAGCACCGGCUAACUACGUG